UGGAGUUCACAAGUAUCUAACUUUCUCUGAUGUGUGUUUUCAAAUAAUUUGAUACUUGACAUUAGGAUUUCUUUGACUGACCACAUCAUCUCAGACAUAAGUAGAACAUGAGCAAUUGUGAGACAGAGCUAAUUGAUAUACCGUUUAGAAAAUAGAACCGCAGAAUUCUUGGUAGUAAAUAUUGAUUAGCUAUGUGCUUACCCCUUAAGUUCUUUGCUACUUAUUAUUAUUACUAAGGUUAGAACUGCACAAUUAUGAAAUAAACGCUCAGCGUUCGCAAUUCUUCAGAGUUACUUAACUUGUUCAUUGCAUUUCAAACUUCUAGAUCAGAUGCCUGAUAUUUUUUUCAAAAAAAAAUGUAAAAUGGGAGUGCGUGAAAAAGGACUUCUCAUUUUAUUGCAUGCAAGAAAUGACCAAGUUACUGAAUUUGAUUUGUAUGUACCAUACAAUGUUAGCGAGGACAGUGAUUGGGGGCUUGAGAUUUUCGAAGUAAAGAGGUCCUUGGAGGAGGCACGUGUCGCAGGUUUGACUGUUUGGGCUCUGGUGAUCAUACACCCCGGAUAACCUCAUCUCCCCAAAACCUCUUGGGGUAGAGAGGCAGAAAAAAAACAAGAAAAGAAGAGAAUUAAACAUUCCUGGAUACAGGCAACACUGUAUUCGCAAACCCGUUGGCUACUUUAUGGGGUCAUGGAGGCUUUUUGUAAUUUGCUAUAUUAAAAUGGGGGCAAAUGUACUCCAACCCAUCUGUAUUCGCGUAAUCCUGCAACGAAAAGACCGAUCGAUAGAUUUGUUACCAUGGAGAGGGGGUUAGGAUCGUAGAAUACAAGACUUUGGUGGUUACUGCCAGUUCUAACAUGAAUUUGAUUGAACUGGGAGUUGUGACAUGCAAAUGUUUUAUGGUUGAUGGUUCUGUACCAUCGGUAAUAUUAUAUUAACAUAGUCUCUGCUUUCAUCUUCUUUGAUCAUAUAUUUUCUGCUAAAAAUUAAAAUGCAUUAUGCACCUCUUCUUUUUAUUGUAGUUCCAUUUUGACGAACAGGCGACAAGAGGAGGCCAUCGACGAUGCCAUGGUCCGGAUGUCCAAAACUAAGCGGGCGUGGUUUCGGCACAGGACCUUCUACUUUGUGCUUGCCAUGCCAGCCGGCACGGCCCUGGGCUCCUCAAACUUGUUACCCAUGGCGGCAGGAUCGGUAUGCAGCUGCGGCGUGGGCUCAAUCCCAUCAGUCCCUCGACUCCUCGCCAAGUUAGUUUAUCCUUCUUCAUAUUUGAGGAGAUAUGCACGGACGAUCACGUGCCGCGGUGGACGUUCGACUGCUACCUGUGCUCGAUGGUGGCCGUUGUGUCGUCGGAGUGAUUCCGGCUCUCAAGCUCUUCAAGGUACGCAAUUUCGAUGCUUUAGAUAUUUAUCUAUGUAGUGUACAUCUUAGCGUUGUGUAUGUGUAGUCAGAAAUAUACUGUGAAUGAACUAAUCAUGUUGUGUAUUGGUGUUUGGAAUUCAGGCAUGUACUCAUUCAUACUGAAAUUGAACUGUGAAUGAACUGAUCAUGUUGUACAGUGUUGUCUCUAGGCCUACAAGUUCUGCGAAUUUUCAUGCAAGGAAGUAACAGAUACUAAUUUCCAUGAAUUUGGUCAAGGUUUCAUUUGUGUUGUCAUAUGAAUAUAGGCUUACGCCUGAGAAGUCACAUGGAAGAUCAGGUUAUCCCUGCUGGAUUUGAACUCCAUACCCAACCAUUUAUAUUUUAACUUCGUCGUACUGAAAUGCUGGCUAUGCAAUUUUUGGGGCAGAGGGAUUGAGUUUCACUUUAAUUUGUACUAACAGACAUAAGGUGAGAGUGUGGGAGAAGUAAAGGUUGCAUCUGACAUGCACGAGAGGAAAUUCAGAGAUGGCUUGACAAUCCGAAGCAUUCAUAUCUCUUCCAGGGGGGCACGGAACCAUGGAGGAGCUAUUGGAGAAGAUAACACGGUUUCAACUUGGAAUUCACAACAGACAUGUAAGCAACCGAGCACAAUAGCUAGGAGAGUUACAGGAGUUCAUAAUGACACGAAAGAGAAAAAAGAGAGGAAACCAUAGCUAUAAUAUUUCCACGGUUUAGGAUAUUUGAUUGUUCCCAUCUAAAUGUAGUUUUCUAUUUUGUAGCUUCCAGUAUCAGAAAUGAUAGCUAUCAGAUUUCAUUUUGUUUUUUCAGUGAUUAGUUUUUUUCGUUUGUUCAAUUUCUAAGUAAGAGUACCAUUUAUCUCCUUACUUGAGCGAUGUUCUGCUCUUUUCAAAUUUUAAGGGGUGCAGGGAUUAUCUCUGAUGGAAUGCUUCAGGUUGCGACACAAUGGUGUCUCCCUUGACUUUUCAUAUUUUAGCUCAACUGCAUUAGCUAUUUAUAAUCUUCUACAUUUUCUUAACCAUGAUUUUUUAAUUGGUUUCAUAGAUGAAAUAGUCCACAUGGUUUGUAACGAGUUCUCCACACGGAGCAAAGGAUUUUGCGUCGAUGACGUCCAUUGACAAAGUGGUUCCGGGAGGUAGAGAGGCUGGUGGAAGACGUUGUGUGGAGUGUCGUUGAAUGCGGGUUCGUGCGGGCGUCACUGUGGCUGGAGCUGCAAUGCCGGUACAUGGAGAUCAAUAGGAAAGUGGCCAACACCUAGACCCGGUUGAGCCUCAUGCAUGGAGGACAUGUACGUACUAAAAUAAACAAGAUCACUGAGAGGUUCCCCGCUCUUCAGCUCAAAAUGAAGGAGGUGGAUGUGUUGUUCGCCAUGAAGCAGAACCACUCCUCCAAUAGGUGAACUAACUAAUUUACAUUGUAACUUGUUUCGGAAAGCAGUUUCUAAACUCUGAA